AGUGAACGCUGGCGGUAGGCCUAACACAUGCAAGUCGAACGGCAGCACAGUAAGAGCUUGCCCUUACGGGAGGCGAGUGGCGGACGGGUGAGGAAUACCUCGGAAUCUACUUUUUCGCGGGGGAUAACGUGGGGAAAACUACGCUAAUACCGCAUACGACCUACGGGUGAAAGCAGGGGAUCUUCGGACCUUGCGCGCUCGAAUGAGCCUAUGUGGGAUUAGCUAGUUGGCGGGGUCAAGGCCCAGCCAGGCGACGGUCCGUAGCUGGUGUGCGAGGAUGAUCGGCCACACUGGAACGGAGACACGGUCCAUGGUCCUGCGGGACGCAGCAGUGGGGAAUAGUGGACAAUGGGGGCAAGCCUGAUCCAGCCAGACGGCGUGGGUGGAGAAGGCCUUCGGGUUGUAAAGCCCUUUUGUUGGUAAAGAAAAGCAGCAGGUUAAUACCCCGCUGUUCUGACGGUACCCAAAGAAUAAGCACCGGCUAACUUCGUG
rnacentral:rRNA from 1 species